UGUGGUAUGUCGCCACGGAAGAAAGCAAAGAGGUGAGCUUGAGUGGGAUGGAGCAUACAAAGAGGGACAUGCAGAUGCGAGAACCUACAAAAAGAAGUCAAUUCCACAAAACAAAGACUGAUGGUGUGUGUUUAGGAGCAGUAAACAUUUCAAAGCAUUAGCGAUAAGGCGAGGAGAAUGAUGGGAAAACAAUGCGAGAGGCACCAGUACUCCGAAGGAUGAGACCGUCAGCUAAGAUUGAAUGUAAACAUAAGACAAAUGGAAAUUGAUAAACAUGUUAGCAAACAAUGAGGAAAUGAAAACCAGUGGAUGCAUGGAGCCUAGUACUAACCUGCUGGAUUUGUGACCUUGAGGCAUGUUAGAAUGCAAAUGAUAGGCGUAAGCUGUUCUAUUGUGGCGAUUUGUUGGAGGUCAAAUUCAACGGCCGGUUGAAACUUUAUGUAGCGGACAACCAAGCGCUCAUUGCUUGGGAUCAUUAACAAAAGGAAAAAUAGGCACACAUGGAAGCUGAGAAUCAAUUGAAGUUGAGAUUAUUACAAUGGUGUUGAAUAUGAUACCUGGGAUGGUCAACAACAAACGUGAAGUUGAUUGUCCCUUCAACCGAAGUAACUGGCCUUGUAACUACGGUGAGACGACCAAUAACAUCUACAAGAAAAACACCAAAACGUGGAUAUUUUUAGUUGCCUAGGCCGAAAACUACGAAUGUUGUCUAGCAUUCUGCUUGUGAAAAGGAGACCUGACGAAGCGUUUCGGCGUGCAUGUGGGGAGCGCAGAGAUUGAAGGCUGAGUAAGUUGAAGACAUCAACUGGGAAAAAUGGCCGAUCUAGGUCUUCGUCAACUUUUCGGAGCAGAUGCUCAGAGCGAAUUGCAAGAGCAAAAUAUCCCGGGCAUGAGCGCAUACAAAGUCGAGCUCGUAUAAGGUAGGGAUUGUGAAUUUUGUAAAUAGCACCUUCUAUAAUGAGAUCAACCACCUCUGCAGCAUCACCUGGGUCAGUAUAUCCUUCUAUGCGGUGUUC
rnacentral:lncRNA from 1 species